rnacentral:rRNA from 2 species
AUCGGCUUAAGAUGAGCCCGCGUUGGAUUAGCUGGUUGGUGGGGUAAAGGCCUACCAAGGCGACGAUCCAUAGCUGGUCUGAGAGGAUGAUCAGCCACACUGGGACUGAGACACGGCCCAGACUCCUACGGGAGGCAGCAGUGGGGAAUAUUGGACAAUGGGCGCAAGCCUGAUCCAGCCAUGCCGCGUGAGUGAAGAAGGCCUUAGGGUUGUAAAGCUCUUUCACCGGUGAAGAUAAUGACGGUAGCCGGAGAAGAAGCCCCGGCUAACUUCGUGCCAGCAGCCGCGGUAAUACGAAGGGGGCUAGCGUUGUUCGGAUUUACUGGGCGUAAAGCGCGCGUAGGCGGAUAGAUAAGUCAGAGGUGAAAUCCCGGGGCUCAACCCCGGAAUUGCCUUUGAUACUGUUUAUCUUGAGUGCAGAAGAGGUAAGUGGAAUUCCGAGUGUAGAGGUGAAAUUCGUAGAUAUUCGGAGGAAUACCAGCGGCGAANGCGGCUUACUGGUCUGCAACUGAC